CUUCAAUAAUUCAAUUUAUCACAUUCAUUCUUCUCAUAAAUAUAAAAGUCGGUAGUUUUGUAAUUUCUUUGUGGCAAAAGAUGAAAUAAACAAACAUUUAUUUUAAAUUGUUGAGUUAUGAUGAACUUUUUAACACAACAUUUUUGAAUUUUUGCCUGGGAUUUAGCCGACAAAUUCCACCGAUCAAUUCAUUUGAAAUGUUAUCAAGUAUGCUCUGAAUGAAUCUACAAGCCAACCUCCCUGAAGCAAAUCGUGGACACAAGUGACGUAUCUGUGGAAUAAUAAUUUAGAUGUUGACAAUAAUUUGAUACUGAAACCCGAAGUGAAAGAGUUGAUUAUUUUGAUCAUUUGAUGCUCGCGCUGUGAUCUAAAAAAGUAAAUUUUGCUGUGGUGUGACAACUUGCCUUAAUUAAAAACUAAAAUUGAACAAAAUGCAGAAAUUUCUAGUUUAUGCCAUCUUUUUUGC